rnacentral:antisense_RNA from 1 species
UGUGGGAGCGAGCUUGCUCGCGAUAGCGGUGUGUCAGUCACAAACCCUGCAACUGGUAGUCCGCUAUCGCGAGCAAGCUCGCUCCCACA